CCAAUCUGUUGCCUCGGCGGGAUUCUCUGCCCCGGGCGCGUCGCAGCCCCGGAUCCCAUGGCGCCCGCCGGAGGACCAACUCAAACUCUUUUUUCUCUCCGUCGCGGCCUACGUCGCGGCUCUGUUUUAUUUUUGCUCUGAGCCUUUCUCGGCGACCCUAGCGGGCGUCUCGAAAAUGAAUCAAAACUUUCAACAACGGAUCUCUUGGUUCUGGCAUCGAUGAAGAACGCAGCGAAAUGCGAUAAGUAAUGUGAAUUGCAGAAUUCAGUGAAUCAUCGAAUCUUUGAACGCACAUUGCGCCCGCCAGUAUUCUGGCGGGCAUGCCUGUCCGAGCGUCAUUUCAACCCUCGAACCCCUCCGGGGGGUCGGCGUUGGGGAUCGGCCCCUCACCGGGCCGCCCCCGAAAUACAGUGGCGGUCUCGCCGCAGCCUCUCCUGCGCAGUAGUUUGCACACUCGCACCGGGAGCGCGGCGCGGCCACAGCCGUAAAACACCCCAAACUCUGAAAUGUUGACCUCGGAUCAGGUAGGAAUACCCGCUGAACUUAAGCAUAUCAAUAAGCGGAGGA
rnacentral:rRNA from 1 species